AGUUAUUGUAAUACUACCACAAAAGUUGAAACAAAAUGGAGAAAGCAACAUUCCUUAAGAUUUUCUUGAUCUCUUUUUUGCUUAUUUUGUUAGGACAAUCAAGUAAUGCCGUGUUCGCAUGCUCUAAGGAUGCCGAUUGCCCAAUGAAAUGCAUAGACGCUGAUGUCAAAUGUGAUUUGACUACGCACAAGUGCUUCUGUCCAAACCCUCCACAAGUAAAUAAUAAUGGAGCAAAAAGAGUUCACAAGAAGGUCCGGAACUGACUUAUGUUUGUUAUUAUUAUGCAAAUUGAAUUAUGAUUUAUGUUUUUUUUCCCUUUUUCAUAAGUAAUGAAGUUCAAUAAAGAUCUCUUAUAUUCAAAA